AACGAACGCUGGCGGCAGGCUUAACACAUGCAAGUCGAGCGCCCCGCAAGGGGAGCGGCAGACGGGUGAGUAACGCGUGGGAAUCUACCCAUCUCUACGGAAUAACGCAUGGAAACGUGUGCUAAUACCGUAUACGUCCUUCGGGAGAAAGAUUUAUCGGAGAUGGAUGAGCCCGCGUUGGAUUAGCUAGUUGGUGGGGUAAAGGCCUACCAAGGCGACGAUCCAUAGCUGGUCUGAGAGGAUGAUCAGCCACACUGGGACUGAGACACGGCCCAGACUCCUACGGGAGGCAGCAGUGGGGAAUAUUGGACAAUGGGCGCAAGCCUGAUCCAGCCAUGCCGCGUGAGUGAUGAAGGCCCUAAGGUUGUAAAGCUCUUUCACCAGUGAAGAUAAUGACGGUAACCGGAGAAGAAGCCCCGGCUAACUUCGUGCCAGCCGCCGCGGUAACAC
rnacentral:rRNA from 1 species